GGAGUCUGAAGGAAGAGGCCUCACACGGGCAAAGGAAAACAUCACAAAUGAACUGAGCUAUCUCAAUGACAUACGUGACCUGCAGUCGGCUCACAUUCCUUGUCAUGUUGAUGGCUCCUCUUCCACUGCCGCUCUAUGGUAACCAUGAAGCUACUGUGACCUGAAGAGGCUGAGAGUGUGUUCACGAGCCCAAAGGUAAGAAAAGUCCUGCUCCAUCAGGGCUGUCUGG
ensembl:lncRNA